rnacentral:rRNA from 1 species
UACGAAGGUCCCGAGCGUUGUUCGGAAUCACCGGGCGUAAAGGGAGCGUAGGCGGCAUGGUAAGUCAGAUGUGAAAUCCCGGGGCUCAACCCCGGAACUGCAUCCGAUACUGCCUUGCUUGAGGGUUGGAGAGGUAGCUGGAAUUAUCGGUGUAGCAGUGAAAUGCGUGGAUAUCGAUAGGAACACUCGUGGCGAAAGCGAGCUACUGGACAACAUCUGACGCUGAGGCUCGAAGGCUAGGGGAGCAAAAGGG